AUAGAUACAGCAGAAGAUGCACUUGACUUAGAAUCAAAAGAAUGCAGAUAAAAUUCUGCUAUCUAAA
rnacentral:tRNA from 1 species